CUUAGCAAGGUUGUACGACAAGGUAGUUAUCACGCAAUAGGUGUGGAUAAAACGGCCGUUAUCGUCGGUUUUAUCAUCCAUACUAUGGUUGCAGACGAUAUAUGGAGUUAUCCACAUUUGACAGCGGUAGAUGAUAGAAGACAAUUUGCAUAACAUGGUCGUUGGAUAAGAUGUGGAUAAUUUGACAGAUUGUCCCAUUUUGACAGUUCAACUUAGUUAAUUUUAACUACGUGCUUCUUAGAUGACGAUAAGCCUUGUCGUGAAAGCAAAAGUAGUGAAUAAUCAUAUUUUAAGGUAUAAAUUACAGGUAAAUAUCAGUUUUUCUAUGAUUAUAUUGAGAGUUAUUAGUUACAAUGUUCCGCUGUAUAUAAUAUUGUCAAUAUUUUCUUCGCAGGGAAGUCAAAUUUUAUUAUUCCUACUCGCGGCUGCUGUUGAAGAAAAAUAUCGUAAACAGCUUUAAGAAACACUUGCAGCCCAUUUGAUAUGACGGACGAAGAGUUUCGGCAUAUUUACAGAGUGCGUAAGGAGUGUGCAGUGCAUUUACUUAUGUGCCGAAUUUAACGCCGAGCUUCAAAACGGUGAUGGGUUACCUACCAAAACAUCUCAAAGGUUCUAACAGUAUACACCACACCAGCAGCACACCUACACCAGCAGCAGCAGCAGCAGCUGCUGGUGUGUAACAGUUACACCUGCUAGCUGAUGGCAAUUAACUACCAACGUGGGACUAGUCAAGAUCAUGGCUUGUCCAUUGGAGCACUACUGACUGGAUUGGCCACACUACUGUAAGCCUGAACCUCGAGCAGUUUGUAGAUGCUGUAAACAGAAGAAAACUUCUCGUGGAUCAAGGGAAAAAUUAGAGAAGACGCUCCUAAAAAACUUCCUAAGCAUGCAAGCAUGCACAAAACCGGCUCUUAAUAAGCUUAAUAAAUACAUAUUUCGCCUAUUACUAUGUUUUACUAUCACACAAAUACCUACCUAAUUUACCUAUAUUUCUAUACAAGUAGAGACUAG